CACACCUGUAGCCCCAGCUACUCAGGAGGCUGAGGUGAAAGGAUCACUUGACCCCAGGAGUUGGAGGCUGCAGUGAGCUAUGACUGCACCACUGCACCCCAGCCUGGGUGAUGGAGCAAGACCCUGUCUCAAAAAAAAAAAAAAAAAAAAAAAAGCUUCCAUUGCAAUUCCCAUCUGUUUAUCCUCCAAAUGAAUGCAGAAAUACUAAUUAUCUUUUUUCUGGUUCUGGGGAACACAGAAUUCUAGCGGCUUGUGGAGCCAUUUCCCUGGAGCCAUGGGGCCUCCCAGGUCCUUUCCUGUGUCUUCAUUUUUUACGAAUUUUUUCAUUUUUUGAGACAGGAUCUUGCUCUGACUCCCAGGCUGGAGCACAAUCAUCGCUCACUCAAGCGAUCCUCCCACCUCAGGCUCCCACGUAGCUGGGACUACAGGUGAGCACCACCACAUCUGGCUAAUGUUUUUUAAUUUUUUUGUAGGGGUGGGGUCUCACUAUGGUGCCAAGACUAGUCUUAAACUCCUGGCCUCAAGAGUUCCUCCUGCCUUGGCCACCCAAAGCACUGGGAUUACAGGAAUGAGCCUCCAUGCUGGGCCUUUGCUGGCGUCUUCAGAGCCCUAGGUCACAGGGCCAGCCUGGCGCCCUGCCGCAAGCUUAUCUUAAAGCUGGGACCACAACAUGCAUACCUGCAGCCGGGCCCGGGGCCAGAGGGCUUUGAGGCAGCAUUUCUCAGCCUUUUAGACACACACUCUGUUAACCCCCAUCCUGUGUCUCUGAUAAUCUUCUUGUGAUCCUCCCACCAGCCAAGAAUUGGGUUUUAUGUGAACCUUGUAUUAUGCAAAGUUUUCUUUUGUUUUUUUUUUCACUCCCAAAUAUAAUAUUGAGAAUAGAAAGAAAGUCUUUUCAACAAAUGGUGCUGGAACAGAUGGAUUUCCAUACUGGAAAAAAAAAAAAAGAGCAAAAAACAAACCUAGACCCCUUCCUCACACUGUACACAUAUGUUUACUUCAGAUGGAUCACAGGUUUAUCCCAGAGUAAAACCUGAAACUAAAAACCAUUUGGGGCUGGACAGGGAGCUCACGCCUGUAAUCUCAGCACUUUGGGAGGCUGAGGCAGGUGGAUCACUUGAGGUCAGGAGUUUGAGACCAGCCAUGACCAACAUGGUGAAAUCCUGUCUCUACUAAAAAAAUACAAAAUUAACCAAGUGUGGUGGUGCAUGCCUGUAAUCCCAGCUACUUGGGAAGCUGAGGCAGGAGAAUUGCUUGAACUUGGGAAGCAGAGGUUGCAAUGAGUCGACAUCAUGCCAUUGCACUCCAGCCUAGGCAACAAGAGCAAAACUCUGUCUUGGGGUUGGGUGGGGGAAAAGCAUUUGGAAGAAAGCAUAGAAUUUGGUGGCUUGGAGGUAGGCAAAGGUUCGUAGGAGACAGAAGGCAGUUAACAUAAAAGAAAAAUUGGCAAAUAUAAUCUGCCAGUGUCUUCUUUUUUCUUUAAUUUUUUCGGGAGGUAGAGAUAGGGGUCUUGCUAUGUUACCCAGGCUGAUCUCCAACUCCUGGCCUCAAGCGAUCCUCCCACCUAGAUCCCUCAAAGUACUGGGAUUACAGGCGUGAGCGACCGUGCCCUGCCCAUUCUUGCCAAUGUCUUAUAGCAAAUACCUGUCCCCUGCGGUGACCUGGAUCUGCUAACCUCCACCCCUGCCUAGACUGUGGAAGGAUUGCUGGAAGGGUCUCAGUUGCACAGACCAGGAAACUGAGGCCCACAGAGGAAAGACGACGUCACAGGCUACUUCCCGUCCAUGUACCUGCAAAAGUCAGGGCAAGACGUGUCCCAGGCCCAACGCCAGAUCAAGCGGGGGGCGCCGCCCCGCAGGUCGUCCAUCCGCAACGUGCACAG
rnacentral:lncRNA from 10 species